rnacentral:lncRNA from 11 species
GACGAUUGUUGCAUUUCUUGACACGUGUUUUUAUAGCACAUUAUAUAGAUAGGGCCACUCUUUGCAAUCAUUUUUAUUGUCUUUCUUUUAAUUCUAUUUGGUGCUUUUGUUUAUUUUUUACAUGGAGCUAUAUCACAUAAUAAAAAGUCAUAUAAAAUCUAAAAUACUAAAUGGACACUUCUACACACACUUCCUGAAGCAAAAACAUAGAAGCUAUGAUCCCAUUGUCGUCGCUUUCAUUUCUUGCAUUUUUUUCUCUCUUUUUACCUUCUUUGUCUGAUAAAGAAUCCUGUAGGCUUCAAGGUGAGCAUGAUGAAUACUUUAGCCUGGAGAAGAGAAGGUUAAGAGUCUUAGGGCCUAAUUGCAAGAGAAAGCUAAAUUGGAACUGCAUCAAGUGA